AUUGAACGCUAGCGGGAUGCUUUACACAUGCAAGUCGAACGGCAGCACGAGAGAGCUUGCUCUCUUGGUGGCGAGUGGCGGACGGGUGAGUAAUGUAUCGGAACGUGCCCAGUAGCGGGGGAUAACUACUCGAAAGAGUGGCUAAUACCGCAUACGCCCUACGGGGGAAAGGGGGGGAUCGCAAGACCUCUCACUAUUGGAGCGGCCGAUAUCGGAUUAGCUAGUUGGUGGGGUAAAGGCCUACCAAGGCGACGAUCCGUAGCUGGUUUGAGAGGACGACCAGCCACACUGGGACUGAGACACGGCCCAGACUCCUACGGGAGGCAGCAGUGGGGAAUUUUGGACAAUGGGGGAAACCCUGAUCCAGCCAUCCCGCGUGUGUGAUGAAGGCCUUCGGGUUGUAAAGCACUUUUGACAGGGAAGAAAUGACAGGAGCUAAUAACUUCUGUAGAUGACGGUACCUGUAGAAUAAGCACCGGCUAACUACGUGCCAGCAGCCGCGGUAAUACGUAGGGUGCAAGCGUUAAUCGGAAUUACUGGGCGUAAAGGGUACGCAGGCGGCUAGGAAAGAAAGAUGUGAAAUCCCAGGGCUCAACCUUGGAACUGCAUUUUUAACUACCUGGCUAGAGUAUGUCAGAGGGGGGUAGAAUUCCACGUGUAGCAGUGAAAUGCGUAGAGAUGUGGAGGAAUACCGAUGGCGAAGGCAGCCCCCUGGGAUAAUACUGACGCU
rnacentral:rRNA from 1 species